rnacentral:rRNA from 1 species
UACGUAGGGUGCAAGCGUUGUCCGGAAUUAUUGGGCGUAAAGAGCUCGUAGGCGGUCUGUCGCGUCUGCUGUGAAAACCUAGGGCUUAACUCUGGGCGUGCAGUGGGUACGGGCAGGCUAGAGUGCGGUAGGGGGAGACUGGAAUUCCUGGUGUAGCGGUGAAAUGCGCAGAUAUCAGGAGGAACACCGGUGGCGAAGGCGGGUCUCUGGGCCGAUACUGACACUGAGGAGCGAAAGCGUGGGGAGCGAACAGG